CAUCACUCAGGUUUAUUCCCCACACUGCCUCCCAUCUACCUACCCUAUAUGUCCUAUGCCGGGAAAAUGGGGUGAGAUAAGAAAUUAUAUUGUGCAAGUGAUCAUUGUGCGAAUGUUAAAUAAUAUGAGAUAUGAAAAACUAAACUAACUAAAAAGUUGUUUUUUUUUGUUUAGUUUGUUAGCCAUUGCUGCUGCCUGAGAGUAGUGGGAAUUUGAGUGCAGGGCUUUGUUUGAAGUGCAGAUAUUUCACUGUAUCCAAGUGACCUGCUUGUUACAACUAUUCGUGACAAUCCCAUUCAGAGAAUGAUGUUUAGCAAACUUAAAAUGUUAUGACUAUACCAUUGUUAGUGCAUUAUAUCAUUAGCUACUUUGUCAGCCUACCAGAUGC